GACGAACGUUGGCGGCGUGCUUAAUACAUGCAAGUCAACUGAAGCAGUGGUAGCAAUAUCGCUGUGGAGGUGGCGCACGGGUGAGUAACACGUAGGUAAUCUGCCUUCAGGUCUGGCAUAACUCCGGGAAACCGGGGCUAAUAGCAGAUGAUGCAGCGGCUCGACAUCGAGACAGUUGUUAAAGCUAUGGCGCCUGAAGAUGAGCCUGCGUCUGAUUAGCUAGUUGGCGGGGUAACGGCCCACCAAGGCAACGAUCAGUAGCUGGUCUGAGAGGAUGAUCAGCCACACUGGAACUGAGACACGGUCCAGACUCCUACGGGAGGCAGCAGUAAGGAAUAUUGCUCAAUGGGAGAAAUCCUGAAGCAGCAACGCAGCGUGAGGGACGAAGGGCUUUGGCUUGUAAACCUCUGUAGUGAGAGAAAAAAAUCCCAAUCUUUGGGACAUGAUGGUAUCUCAAAAGUAAGCCCCGGCUAACUACGUG
rnacentral:rRNA from 1 species